AUUGUGAAUACUCUUUACAACUACACCAACCACUUUUACCACUGCUCCUAUUCGAGCACAGAGAGUUGCAGCAGUCAGUCAGUUAUAAGGUGAAGGGGCACAUCAUCAGGGGUGUAGUGGCCGCAAACAAGAAAGUCAGGAAAGCUGAGGUCGAAACCAGGAGAAGCAACAAGGUUGUGAAUGCAAAACACACUGAAGAGACUGCAGCCGGCGCGCACCUCCUUGUACAGCUUACGGUGACAUCAUCACAAGCAUGUGUGACAUCACAGGGUUCUAAAC